AAUAGAUACCCCGGUAGUCCACGCCGUAAACGAUGAGUGCUAAGUGUUAGAGGGUUUCCGCCCUUUAGUGCUGCAGCAAACGCAUUAAGCACUCCGCCUGGGGAGUACGGUCGCAAGACUGAAACUCAAAGGAAUUGACGGGGGCCCGCACAAGCGGUGGAGCAUGUGAUUUAAUUCGAAGCAACGCGAAGAACCUUACCAGGUCUUGACAUCCUUCGCUACUUCUAGAGAUAGAAGGUUCCCCUUCGGGGGACGAAGUGACAGGUGGUGCAUGGUUGUCGUCAGCUCGUGUCGUGAGAUGUUGGGUUAAGUCCCGCAACGAGCGCAACCCUUGAUCUUAGUUGCCAGCAUUCAGUUGGGCACUCUAAGGUGACUGCCGGUGACAAACCGGAGGAAGGUGGGGAUGACGUCAAAUCAUCAUGCCCCUUAUGACCUGGGCUACACACGUGCUACAAUGGAUGGUACAAAGGGCUGCAAGACCGCGAGGUCAAGCCAAUCCCAUAAAACCAUUCUCAGUUCGGAUUGCAGG
rnacentral:rRNA from 1 species